UAAGGAAUAUUGCGCAAUGGGCGACAGCCUGACGCAGCGACGCCGCGUGGGGGAUGAAGGUCUUCGGAUUGUAAACCCCUUUCGGGAGGGAAGAUGGGACGAGCAAUCGUUCGGACGGUACCUCCAGAAGCAGCCACGGCUAACUUCGUGCCAGCAGCCGCGGUAAUACGAAGGUGGCAAGCGUUGUUCGGAUCUACUGGGCGUACAGGGAGCGUAGGCGGUUCGGUAAGCCCUCCGUGAAAUCUCCAGGCUCAACCUGGAAAGUGCAGAGGGGACUGCCGGGCUAGAGGAUGGGAGAGGAGCGCGGAAUUCCCGGUGUAGCGGUGAAAUGCGUAGAGAUCGGGAGGAAGGCCGGUGGCGAAGGCGGCGCUCUGGAACAUUUCUGACGCUGAGGCUCGAAAGCGUGGGGAGCAAACAGGAUUAGAUACCCUGGUAGUCCACGCCUUAAACGAUGGAUACUAAGUGUCGGCGGGUUACCGCCGGUGCCGCAGCUAACGCAGUAAGUAUCCCGCCAGGGAAGUACGGCCGCAAGGUUGA
rnacentral:rRNA from 1 species